rnacentral:rRNA from 1 species
UGGGGAAUUUUGGACAAUGGGCGAAANCCUGAUCCAGCAAUGCCGCGUGUGUGAAGAAGGCCUUCGGGUUGUAAAGCACUUUUGUCCGGAAAGAAAUCCUUGGCUCUAAUACAGUCGGGGGAUGACGGUACCGGAAGAAUAAGCACCGGCUAACUACGUGCCAGCAGCCGCGGUAAUACGUAGGGUGCAAGCGUUAAUCGGAAUUACUGGGCGUAAAGCGUGCGCAGGCGGUUUGCUAAGACCGAUGUGAAAUCCCCGGGCUCAACCUGGGAACUGCAUUGGUGACUGGCAGGCUAGAGUAUGGCAGAGGGGGGUAGAAUUCCACGUGUAGCAGUGAAAUGCGUAGAGAUGUGGAGGAAUACCGAUGGCGAAGGCAGCCCCCUGGGCAAUACUGACGCUCAUGCACGAAAGCGUGGGGAGCAAACAGGAUUAGAUACCCUGGUAGUCCACGCCCUAAACGAUGUCAACUAGUUGUUGGGGAUUCAUUUCCUAGUAACGUAGCUAACGCGUGAAGUUGACCGCCUGGGGAGUACGGUCG